rnacentral:rRNA from 1 species
GAUGAACGCUAGCUACAGGCUUAACACAUGCAAGUCGAGGGGCAGCAUGACCUAUCCAUAGGUUGAUGGCGACCGGCGCACGGGUGAGUAACACGUAUUCAACCUGCCGACUAUUCCGGGAUAGCCUUUCGAAAGAAAGAUUAAUACUGGAUAGCAUAACGAGAAGGCAUCUUCUUGUUAUUAAAGAAUUUCGAUAAUCGAUGGGGAUGCGUUCCAUUAGUUUGUUGGCGGGGUAACGGCCCACCAAGACAUCGAUGGAUAGGGGUUCUGAGAGGAAGGUCCCCCACAUUGGAACUGAGACACGGUCCAAACUCCUACGGGAGGCAGCAGUGAGGAAUAUUGGUCAAUGGACGAGAGUCUGAACCAGCCAAGUAGCGUGAAGGAUGACUGCCCUAUGGGUUGUAAACUUCUUUUAUAUGGGAAUAAAGUGGGCCACGUGUGGCUUUUUGUAUGUACCAUACGAAUAAGGAUCGGCUAACUCCGUG